rnacentral:lncRNA from 1 species
GCCAAUACUGAGUCAAUUGGUAGUCGACACCAAUGAUUGGCUAAUAAUAGCAAUGCUAAUAGCACGUUUUUCUCCCCAGUAAUUCUAUUUAAAGCAUUUCCAGCUGCUGACUCAGACAAAACCACCACAAUGACUAGUGAGGAUAUUGUUUUCGACAAGCACCACUUCAGACAUGAUCCGAAGUGGAGUGGUCGCCUGGGGCCUGCAGAGGGUGGAGGGCUGCUGCUGUGUGUGGCCUGUGUCAUUGAAAUUAUUGAGUGUAAAGAUACUGCAGUGGUUAAGAAAUCCUUUGCCUUGUCUGGGGUCAGUCGGGUGUUGAAGUCCUCUCCAGGAGCUUUAACAGAAAUACUUCAACAGGACUACAGAGUGUGCCUGCAUUUGAUAGCCUUACUGCUCGGUGAGUUGUAUAAUAAACCUUUUUUUGUUACAGAAGAUUAGUGAUUGAUUAUCAUAUGAUUAUUAUGCUGUUUAUAUUAUUGCCAAAUAGGGGUGUGUAUU